GAUGAAGAACGUAGCAAAAUGCGAUACUUGGUGUGAAUUGCAGAAUCCCGUGAACCAUCGAGUCUUUGAACGCAAGUUGCGCCCGAAGCCAUUAGGCCGAGGGCACGCCUGCCUGGGUGUCACACGUCGUUGCCCCCCCAUCUACUCCUUCGGGAUUGCGGGGGGCGGAUGAUGGCCUCCCGUGCGCCUCGUCGCGCGGUUGGCAUAAAUGCCAAGUCCUCGGCGACGCACGCCACGACAAUCGGUGGUUGCGAAACCUCGGUUGCCCGUCGUGUGCGGUCGUCGCGCAUCGAGGGCUCGAAAAAAUUGCCGGGCUCCGGCUCGGCUUUCAACGCGACCCCAGGUCAGGCGGGGUUACCCGCUGAAUUUAAGCAUAUCAAUAAGCGGAGGA
rnacentral:misc_RNA from 1 species